rnacentral:rRNA from 1 species
UACAGAGGUGGCGAGCGUUGUUCGGAUUUACUGGGCGUAAAGGGCGCGUAGGCGGCCUUGUGUGUCGCGUGUGAAAUCCCCGGGCUCAACCCGGGAAGUGCGCGCGAAACUGCGGGGCUCGAGCGGAGGAGGGGAGAGCGGAAUUCAUGGUGUAGCGGUGAAAUGCGUUGAUAUCAUGAGGAACACCGGUGGCGAAGGCGGCUCUCUGGAAUCCUGCUGACGCUGAGGCGCGAAAGUCGGGGGAGCAAACAGGAUUAGAUACCCGUGUA